rnacentral:rRNA from 1 species
UACGUAGGUCCUGAGCGUUGUCCAGAUUUAUUGGGCGUAAAGCGAGCGCAGGUGGUUUAUUAAGUCUGGUGUAAAAGGCAGUGGCUCAACCAUUGUAUGCAUUGGAAACUGGUAGACUUGAGUGCAGGAGAGGAGAGUGGAAUUCCAUGUGUAGCGGUGAAAUGCGUAGAUAUAUGGAGGAACACCGGUGGCGAAAGCGGCUCUCUGGCCUGUAACUGACACUGAGGCUCGAAAGCGUGGGGAGCAAACAGG